rnacentral:rRNA from 1 species
UACGUAGGGUGCGAGCGUUGUCCGGAAUUAUUGGGCGUAAAGAGCUCGUAGGCGGUGUGUCACGUCGGCCGUGAAAACCUGCAGCUUAACUGUGGGCGUGCGGUCGAUACGGGCAUCACUGGAGUUCGGCAGGGGAGACUGGAAUUCCUGGUGUAGCGGUGAAAUGCGCAGAUAUCAGGAGGAACACCAGUGGCGAAGGCGAGUCUCUGGGCCGAUACUGACGCUGAGGAGCGAAAGCGUGGGGAGCAAACAGG